AGUGAACGCUGGCGGUAGGCCUAACACAUGCAAGUCGAACGGCAGCACAGUAAGAGCUUGCUCUUACGGGUGGCGAGUGGCGGACGAGUGAGGAAUACAUCGGAAUCUACUUUUUCUUGGGGGAUAACGUAGGGAAACUUACGCUAAUACCUCAUACGACCUACGGGUGAAAGCAGGGGAUCUUCGGACCUUGCGCGAUUGAAUGAGCCGAUGUCGGAUUAGCUAGUUGGCGUGGUAAAGGCCCACCAAGGCGACGAUCCGUAGCUGGUCUGAGAGGAUGAUCAGCCACACUGGAACUGAGACACGGUCCAGACUCCUACGGGAGGCAGCAGUGGGGAAUAUUGGACAAUGGGCGAAAGCCUGAUCCAGCCAUACCGCGUGAGUGAAGAAGGCCUUCGGGUUGUAAAGCCCUUUUGUUGGGAAAGAAAAGCAGCAGGUUAAUACCCGGCUGUUCUGACGGUACCCAAAGAGUAAGCACCGGCUAACUUCGUG
rnacentral:rRNA from 1 species